CCUACGGGCGGCUGCAGUGGGGAAUAUUGCACAAUGGGGGAAACCCUGAUGCAGCGACGCCGCGUGAGUGAAGAAGUAUUUCGGUAUGUAAAGCUCUAUCAGCAGGGAAGAUAAUGACGGUACCUGACUAAGAAGCCCCGGCUAACUACGUGCCAGCAGCCGCGGUAAUACGUAGGGGGCAAGCGUUAUCCGGAUUUACUGGGUGUAAAGGGAGCGUAGACGGCAGCACAAGUCUGGAGUGAAAUGCCGGGGCUUAACCCCGGAACUGCUUUGGAAACUGUGCAGCUAGAGUGCAGGAGAGGUAAGUGGAAUUCGUAGUGUAGCGGUGAAAUGCGUAGAUAUUAGGAGGAACACCAGUGGCGAAGGCGGCUUACUGGACUGUAACUGACGUUGAGGCUCGAAAGCGCGGGGAGCAAACAGGAUUAGAUACCCCUGUAGUC
rnacentral:rRNA from 1 species